rnacentral:rRNA from 1 species
CGAAAGCCUGACGGAGCAACGCCGCGUGUGGGAAGAAGGCUCUUGGGCUGUCAACCACUUUUCUCAGGGAAGAAGUCCUGACGGUACCUGAGGAAUCAGCCUCGGCUAACUCCGUGCCAGCAGCCGCGGUAAUACGGAGGAGGCAAGCGUUAUCCGGAAUUAUUGGGCGUAAAGCGUCCGCAGGUGGCCAUUUAAGUCUGCUGUCAAAGACCGGGGCUCAACUCCGGGUCGGCAGUGGAAACUGGAUGGCUAGAGUGCCGUAGGGGUAGAGGGAAUUCCCGGUGUAGCGGUGAAAUGCGUAGAGAUCGGGAAGAACAUCGGUGGCGAAAGCGCUCUACUGGACGGCAACUGACACUCAGGGACGAAAGCUAGGGGAGCG